GACGUAGGGCGCGAGCGUUGUCCGGAUUUAUUGGGCGUAAAGAGCUCGUAGGCGGCUUGUCGCGUCGUUCGUGAAAACCCACGGCUCAACUGUGGGCUUGCGGUCGAUACGGGCAGGCUGGAGUUCGGUAGGGGAGACUGGAAUUCCUGGUGUAGCGGUGAAAUGCGCAGAUAUCAGGAGGAACACCGGUGGCGAAGGCGGGUCUCUGGGCCGAUACUGACGCUAAGGAGCGAAAGCGUGGGGAGCGAACAGG
rnacentral:rRNA from 1 species